rnacentral:tRNA from 9 species
GCACCCCUAGCUCAAUUGGAUAGAGCAUCGGUUUACGAAACCGAAGGUUGCAGGUUCGAACCCUGCGGGGUGUAC